rnacentral:lncRNA from 1 species
CUGACAGAGGGGAGGCCAGACCCAGUGGGGCCGAGACCCAGGGCCGGCUCUGCAGAUGCUGCCCGUGCUGCUGCCACCGCUGCUGCUGCUGCUGCUUAACCCCCACGCCCCACCCCCAAGGCUGGAGAGCACCCCCCUGAGGCUGCUGCACACCAACACCUGCAGAGACACCUUCCGCCUCCAGCCCGACUGUCCGGACCUGCAGGCCCUCCUGCCCAAGGGCUCCUGGUGCGCGAUCGCCCCCACCAGCCCAGCCCAGCUGGUGGUGUCUGAUGGGAGCCCCCUGGUCUGCUUCCAAGCUAGCAGCUGGCGGCUGGAGGGUGUGAUGACCUGGGUCCCUGCUCCCGGCCUGGCCUCCCUGAGGUCUACACACGUGCCUGUCCCCUCAUUUCUUGGAUUCGGGAGACGGUCUCCAAUGCCACCUUCGAUACCUCAGCCAAGAUGCACUCUUGGGACCGGCCCAGGACCAGGCAGAGGAGGCAGUGAGGGUCCUUCGGGAGUUCUGGGUUUGAAACCUGGCUCAGCUCCUUACCUGCUGCUGCGAUGGUGUCCCAGUCACCUCCCUUCUGAAUCUGCUUCCUCUUUUGUGCAACGGAGAUGUAUUCAAUUAUUCAGUCGUUCCACAGCUGCCACAUGCUCCCUACACAAGGUUGCUACAGCCCCUGUGCUCAUGGAGUCUGGGGGGCGAGGCGAGCAUUAGCCAGCGCUCUCACAAUAAUAAAUGUGCAAAUGCGAACCGUGACGGGUGCUUU